GGAUCCCGCCUUCCAUUAAAUCACAACAUGAUCUCAGCUAGAGACACAGCAAAACCUCCUCUGCUCCUCUUCCAGAACCUCAAGGGGCGAAUCAGACAAAACAAUAUUACAACCCCUCAAUACAGAUGGCUUAACAGAAAUAAACCGUGAUGCAGGAAUAGAGGGGAUGCAGGCAAACCAAUGAGUCACUGUUGCAAAAACAUCAAUGAGAUCUUCAGUCCAGCUUACCAUGUGAGGACACUGUCAGUCAUCUUUGGCUCACCAAGCCAAACCACAAGUUCCUCUGCAAGACAUCGACAAAGGACCUUGUGUUGCACCA